AAAUGAAUACAUUUGGGGAUGGAAGAGAGACACUGUCCUUCCAGUAUUCCAAGUGGAGAAAUACUGUUUCUCUGGAUACCUGAGUAACUGCUGCACAGACCACGCUAUGCAUGCAUGAUCAGGUCUGCAAGCUGAACAGAUGCUCUCACGUGUCAUCUCUUAGAGGUAGGAUCAGUCCUGGCUGCUAUACUCAACCAGGAAAGGACCGCCUCUUUUUCGUCAUGGAAUAUGUAAAUGGUGGAGACCUCAUGUUUCAGAUUCAGCGCUCCCGAAAAUUCGACGAGCCUCGUUCACGGUUCUAUGCUGCAGAGGUCACAUCAGCCCUCAUGUUCCUCCACCAGCAUGGAGUCAUCUACAGGGAUUUGAAACUGGACAACAUCCUUCUGGAUGCAGAAGGUCACUGCAAGCUGGCUGACUUCGGGAUGUGCAAGGAAGGGAUUCUGAAUGGUGUGACAACCACCACGUUCUGUGGGACUCCUGACUACAUAGCUCCUGAGAUCCUGCAGGAGUUGGAGUACGGCCCCUCCGUGGACUGGUGGGCCCUGGGGGUGCUGAUGUACGAGAUGAUGGCUGGACAGCCUCCCUUUGAGGCCGACAAUGAGGACGACCUAUUUGAGUCCA
rnacentral:sRNA from 1 species